GAGAGGGAGGAGGAGCAGUGUGCGAUGAACAAGUGAAGGCGGAGGAACGAACUCUCCAAGUCCUUGCUUGCGUUGACGGCCUUUAUUUAUUGAUUUGAUUUUAACCCCGCCCCCCUCACCCCCCUUCACAUUUGCGUUAUGUCGCUCUUUGGGUCGUUAAUGGGCAACUUCGACGAUGACCCCUUCUUCGGGAGCCAUCGCUCGAUGAUGCGUCAGAUGGACCAGAUGAUGAACUCCAUGAUGGACCCCUUCGAGGGGAGCCCCUUCUUCGUGCCCUCCCCCUUCCCGGCCCUCACCCAAGGGCGCCGCCAGCCGCGGCCGGCUCGGCCCAGGGAUCCGUUCUCGGCCCUGGCCAUCCCCACCAUGGGCGGCCUCAUGACUUCCAUGGAUCAGAUGGCACGCCAGGGAGAAUGUCACACCUUCAGCAGUUCCUCUGUUAUGACGAUGACGACGGGCCCAGAUGGGCGUCCCACUGUUUAUCAUGCAAGUACUUCCUCCAGGGGAGUCCCCGGAGGUGUAAGAGAAACACGGCGUACUGUACAUGACGGGCAUUCUGGUCUACGCAAGAUGGCCAUUGGUCACCACAUUGGAGAGCGUUCUCAUAUUAUUGAAAGGGAACAUAAAGAUGGGAACUUGGAGGAGAGGCAGGAGUUUGUCAACUUAGAAGAAGAGGAAGCAGCUGACUUUGAUAAAGAAUUCCGCCGUCACACUCAGGGCGGAGAUUCACGUUCUCUUGACUACCGACCCAGACACCGCCCUUCAGCAUCAUCACACCGACCUCGUUCUUCCAAUUUGCCUGCUUUGACCUCCUCCAGUUACAGAAGGCGUUCUCGGCCUAUGCUUUCCAUCACUGCUGGCCCCAGGUAAAGCUAGAAACCUCAGUUAUUUGCUGGUGGUGCCCUUUCUUUUCUUCGAAUGUGACGACCAGAGGCGCCGCGAAAAGAGAGAGGAACAUCGUCAGCGGUUUAAGCAGGUGUAAACCACUUUUGAGAACAGUUAGUCUUUUCCAUGACCAAGAUACUAGAAGUUUUUUUAGGUAGUGAAUUUUCUUAACCAUCUUUGAUAAAAGCACCAAAAGUGCACCUUGGAAAGGAUUGGGAUCAUGGUGGAAUUGAGUCAACAUCAAGGAUCAGUUUUCAACAUCGAGGAUCAAUUUUCAACAUCAACGAUCAAUUUGAUCCUCUGAAAGGAAUGUUACUAAUUGUUUUCCUCUUGUGUAAAGGUUGUUUUAACAAGAUGCCACCCUUAGUGAAUGAUAGUUCAAGUUAGAUAGUUGACAAGUAGUCUUUAAAUUGUACCCUUUUGCUAAGCUGGUAUCCUGUAUAAUGGAUUGAAAGAAAUUAAUAAGCUAUGCAGAUCUUAUGAUUGGAAUGAAACUUAUCUUGAGCUAUGCAGGUUCCUUAUUGAUUGUAUUUUGAAAAGUAAUGGGAGUUCAAGCUCUUGUAUAACAAGCAUGUACUGUAUAUGAGGAAUUUGUACAAACACCCUUUAUUAAUGUAAAUAUAUACAAGAACAGUGCACUCUAGUAAGGUAUUUGAAUUUGAAAUUAGUCGAACAUUUUCUACUGAACGGAAAGUUGCUGUGAAGCACAUAUCUGUAAUAUAGUGGUUUGUUUGUAGCCUUUUAGGGCAAGGUAUAUAUUAUAAGGAUUGGAUAAAAAUAGUUUGUUGGUCAAUCAGUGCAUUUUGCUAAAUUAUCAUUGGGAUUUCAAACUAAUCUCUUUUUUCAGGUAUAUGUAGUCAUUCAAAGCACUAAUUUUGAUGUUAAAGUUGGUAGCUCCUUUGGGAGAACAUUUACUUUUAAUAUAGUAGUUGAUAAGACCUUACGAGAUUCCAGACUUUGUAUACCAUACGUAGAUGUGUUUUCUGGUUUUUAUUCUUGUUAGUGAGAAACAGCAAUGAAAAUGAACAUCUGAAAGUUUAAUCACACAAAUUUAAGUUGGUUGAUAACAAUGCCUCUCGUCAUGAGAAGUACAGACUGCCAUCUGCACCAGAGAAAUUGAACCGUAGAACAGAGUAGCCCUUUAACAAUUGUCAAAGGUUAAUGCUGACAUAAAAGGAAAUACAUGCAGCAAUGUUUCACUUGUCAGUAGUUUAAGAUGAAUAUUAUAUCCUUAACUUAGUACAGAUUGCCUUAUUCCUGGCCAGUCUUCUCAGUAUGUUAGUAUUUAUAGUUUUAGAAGUCAUGGACUGAAUGUUUCACAUUAUUGCCCUUAACAGUAGUAGUACUGACUUAUUGUCUUCUGAUAAUACUGCUUAAGUGAAAAGUUGAACCGACAUUAUUUGAAUGACCCAGUAUUGCAAAUUAUUAGAGGUCAGUGCUUAACUUAAUGUUCAUUACAUAACCAAGGUUUAAGACUAAUGUUUCUUUAUGAGAUUGUUUCCAGAUUAUACAUAUGGUUGUGCAUUAGCAAAAGACUUUUUUUUGAGCUUUGAUUUUACCAACUUGAUAUCUUUUGUGUACAAUUAGUAUAUUAUUUUACCUUGUGAAAAAAAGAUUAUUACCAGCUCAGUACCUCAUAAAUGCUCUUUACUAAAGCUUAGUAGAAUGUGGAAAUGCAAUUUGUUCUUUUUCACCCACCAAAGAUAGGUUACUUUUAGGUUUGUAGCAGUGUAGGUACCUGUUCCUUGUGCCUCUGGAUGUUAGUCAAGAGACUUGCCAUCUAAGAGAGGCAGUUGUCAGGUAUUUAAUUGCAUUAAAUAUUCAUAGCACAGCAAUUACCAUGACCUGCAGCUUACUUGUAUUAGUGGUUGGAUGAGUUCGUGCUGUUUAUAGUGAGUGCAGACUUUCUGAUGAAUUAUGCUGUAUGGUCACUAAGUGGUAGGAAGCCUUCAUGUUGAGAUUAUUUUCUCUUUUAUUUGUAUAAAAUAUGCCUUUGUUUUGACAUUUUGGUGCACUCUUGCUGUUAUUUUACUGAGAUAAGUUUGCCAAGUAUAUUUGCUCUAUGAACCUGCAUUAUGGACAAUGAAUUUGAAUGUAGCUGUGAGUGAUAUAACUAGUUAACAUCAUCAAGAUUUCAUUUUGACAGUCUAGUAGAAAAUUGUUUCAUGAGACAAUUGUGAAUACUUGUCUGAAAUACAGGAAAAAAAUACUUUGGUAUCAAAAUUUUCAUUAGAAAAAGUGUUUUUAAUAGUUUAUUCAACAGUAGAGCAUCAAAUUCAUGAUUAACUUAAUGAAUUAUUUUUAGAAGCCCCAAGACCGAUUUCCUUGACACCCAACAUAAGCUAAGCAGGCUUUACUUAUUGAAGGCAGUAAAUCUGCAUAAGAGAACCUUUUAUUUAUAGUUAAUGGUUUGUGCUUGCUUUGUAUGUUAGAACUUGCUUACAUGCAGCAACUUAGACAUUUGAGAUACUACAGUAAACACAUUUCAUAAUGUUUGUACAAUAUAUGAAGUUGUAUAUUAGUGGAAAUGUGAAAGUGCAUUGAUUAAUUUACAUAAAAAUGUUGAAGCAAACAUUGAUGCUUUAUUUAAAUGCCAGCUUUGUUAUUGUUGAUGAAAACCCUCAGCACCCAUAGUAAGACUAAAUGGAAAUGAAGAAGUACCAUUGAAGCCAAAUUUUUAUCAUAGUAUGUGGUACAUAAUAAAAGUUCGUACUUU